rnacentral:lncRNA from 1 species
CCUGGACUUAACUUGUUCACAAACUGAAUAUUCCAGGCAAGCAAGAAAGGGGAAACAGAAGAAAGGGUUCGUUGGAGCGUAGGCAUGGAAAGAGAGAACAAGUAAAACGAAUUGCAAAGAAUCCCCUGCUUUUGGGUCUUCUUUUGUGACGAUCGGCUUAGUAGCAUGCACACAUACGGUACCGGUGCCUUAAACUAUGAUUUGGUCUGUCAAAGCAUGCAAUUAUGAACCUUUCGUCCACUGAAAUAACCUCCACUGAAAUAGUUCCGUCUCCAGAAGUCACAGUUAGCUCCAACGGUGGAAUACCAGAUGCCGGGAGGUACGCACUUAUCGCAUUCGGUGUCGUCGCCGCCUUCAUCAUCCUCUUCGUUGGUAUCCUCGCGAUGUGUGUCACGGUACUGAGAUGCAGAGGUGGUUUGUGUGCUGUCUUUGGAUGUUCUAGAGAACAGUGUAACUGUGAUUGCGGCAAGGGUUCGAGGCGUCACAGCAGUGGAACUGCGGCAACUUGAAAGCUAUUGAUUGGUUCAGUGAUUUAUUGGAUGAUUGAUGAUUAUCUUUGCCUGACCAAUGGCAUAUCUAAGGGGGCGGAGGGGGUGUGCCCCCAGUGGAAGAAAGGAAAAUAGAGAUCAAAGAGGACGGGGAAGACAUGUAUAUGCCUCCCCCCGACCCAACUGCCUUGUUAAAUCAUGUUUCAUACACACAGUUAGACCGUGCCACCCCCCCUUCGAUGCCAGUUAUCCUCAACGCCUGAGUAUAUGUUUGUGGAUAAGUAACCCAGGGACCUACGGCUUUAAGUCCUGUCUGAAGGACAUAAAGGAUUCAGAUUCAGAUUCAGAUUCAUUCAGAUUAAUUUCAUUGGUCCAUUUGGAAAUUCAUUUGUUGGCAUUACAUAGGCACAUGAACAAUAUACAAUAGAAAAUAAUAUACACAAAUAGAUAAUAAACAGUAGCAAAUGUACAAUGACAAAUUCAUAUGGAAACACGGAUAUAAAUCGUUUUUACAUAGUGGAAUUAUAUAAGAAAAAUAGAAUAGAUAAAUAAAUGGACUUCCAACACUACUGAAAAUGUACGAUUGCGUAGAAUUUGGAAGUAGUAUUGUUGUUAUAUUUUAUUAUUAUUUUUAUCAUUAUUAUCAUCAUCAUUAUUAUCGUUAUCAUAAUUAUUAUUGUUACUAUUAUUAUUAUUAUUAUUAUCAUCAUCAUUAUCAACAGUAUUUAUUACAUGUAUCAUUCUUUAUCACGGUUUUAUAGCUGAAUCCUUUCUUCUUUCUUUCCUUCAUAAAUUAAACGGUAUAUAACUACAACUUGGAAUAACAUAUGGUAUCAUAGGGUAUUAAUUAUUUAUUUGCUCGUGAUACUGGUACAUUCGGUUGAAAAGGAAAGGGUACAAUGCAAAUUGAUGACUAGCGAAGUGGCAAGAUACAGGCUUAUUCAAAUUGACUGGAGUUGUUCAUUGUAUUUACGAAUGGAAAGCGGGACAAAGGAAUUAAGGAAUCGUGAGGUUCGAGCCUACAUUGAUCUGUACCGCUUCCCCGAUCGCAUUAGGGUAUAGCAGUGAUGAAGGGGGUGGUUAACAUUUUCCAAAAUCUGGGAUACCUGUUUCAAUAUUGUACACACGCAUUCCUGUUUCAGAUCUGUCACUUCGCCAGUCAUCUUGCUAGCAUGAUUGGAUAUUCUCUGCAGUUUCUUAAGGUUAUCCUUUCUGCACCCACCGUACCAAACCGCACAACUAAAAAGCAUUACACUUUCUAUUACUGACUUGUAGAAUAACAUCAGAAUGGUUCUGUCAACAUGGAACGAAUUCAGUUUUCGUAGGAAGUACAUUCGUUGUUGAGCCUUUGCAUACAGAGAUUGGCAUUGGUCUUUCCAUGAGAGUUCGUUAUCAAUUAUUGUACCAAGGUACUUAAAACUCUUGACACUCUGUAUAUCCUGUCCUUUAAGCAUGAUUGGAUUUGCUUGACCUUUGUUUGUACGAAAAUCGAAAGUCAUCUCUUUCGUUUUAGCUAUGUUUAGUACCAAGAAAUUUUAACAUUCACAUUUGGGCGAUAUAAGUAUAGUUAUCACGAUAGCAAUAAUCUAUGACACACACCAGACGUGUACAGAUAUAUUGAAGAGGAUAACGAAGAACAAGACGACACGUGAACGUACAAAAACAGUAAAUUAACUCACCUUUUUUACUACAAAAACAAGAAGGAAGGAGGAGGAGGAGGAGGAGGAGGAGGAGGAGGAGGAGGAGGAAGAGGAGGAGGAAGAAGAGGCAAAUAAGGAUGAAUAUGUCGAAUUUCUAUAACGUACAAAAACAUAAGUUUAUACAAAAUUAAAAGUAUGAACCGGCAGAAGGAAAACAAAUCUGUAUUUCAAUCAUAAAACAUGUCAUUCUCUUCUCUCCUCUGACCAUGGACCUACUGUCUAUGCUCUGACCCUCAAGUGUUAGGUAUUCCUUUAAUAUCCUCUUAAAAUGAGCAAAGUUUUCUAUUUCCUUUAUAUCAUUACGAAGGGAAUUCCAAUGUUUUAUGGCAAUGUAAUGAAACGAAUUUCCAAUACUAACUUCUCUUUCUGGUAAAUUACAGUUGAAUCGGCUAUUUCUUGUAUCAUAAUCAUGUAAGUCAGUAACAGGAUCGAACUUGGAUCGAAUAUAAUAAUUCAUUGAUUGAUCGAUCGAUUUUUUUUCUGCGGUUUUCAACAAAAUAGAAGUUAAUAUAUAAACUAGGUACGAAUUCGUUGAACAAAAGUCAAAUAUAUAUAAUCGUAUCGUAAUAUAAAUAAUUUGAAUAAUUAUACCUUAAAUAAAAACAAAUCAUUGAAAAAUUUGAAAAUGCAGGACAUGUUGGCGACCUCAUAAAUAAUAAAGACGAGCAUAACGAUCCCCUGUA